rnacentral:rRNA from 1 species
UAGUGGCAGACGGGUGAGUAAUGUAUAGGAAUCUACCUAGUAGUACGGAAUAAUUGUUGGAAACGGCAACUAAUACCGUAUACGCCCUACGGGGGAAAAAUUUAUUGCUAUUAGAUGAGCCUAUAUUAGAUUAGCUAGUUGGUGGAGUAAUAGCCUACCAAGGCAAUGAUCUAUAGCUGAUCUGAGAGGAUGAUCAGCCACACUGGAACUGAGAUACGGUCCAGACUCCUACGGGAGGCAGCAGUGGGGAAUAUUGGACAAUGGGCGAAAGCCUGAUCCAGCCAUGCCGCAUGAGUGAAGAAGGCCUUUGGGUUGUAAAGCUCUUUUAGUGAGGAAGAUAAUGACGGUACUCACAGAAGAAGUCCUGGCUAACUCCGUGCCAGCAGCCGCGGUAAUACGGAGAGGGCUAGCGUUAUUCGGAAUUAUUGGGCGUAAAGGGCGCGUAGGCGCAUUAAUAAGUUAAAAGUGAAAUCCCAAGGCUCAACCUUGGUAAU